rnacentral:ncRNA from 1 species
GCAGAGUAGGAUUUUUCGCGUAAAGUGCCGGAUGAACAGGGAGUUGUCAUCUGGACGAAGGGCAUGAGGUGCCCGCGGUGGAGAGUUCGCAUCCCGCUGC